GAUGAACGCUGGCGGCGUGCCUAAUACAUGCAAGUCGAGCGAACAGACGAGGAGCUUGCUCCUCUGACGUUAGCGGCGGACGGGUGAGUAACACGUGGAUAACCUACCUAUAAGACUGGGAUAACUUCGGGAAACCGGAGCUAAUACCGGAUAAUAUAUUGAACCGCAUGGUGCAAUAGUGAAAGACGGUUUUGCUGUCACUUAUAGAUGGAUCCGCGUCGCAUUAGCUAGUUGGUAAGGUAACGGCUUACCAAGGCAACGAUGCGUAGCCGACCUGAGAGGGUGAUCAGCCACACUGGAACUGAGACACGGUCCAGACUCCUACGGGAGGCAGCAGUAGGGAAUCUUCCGCAAUGGGCGAAAGCUUGACGGAGCAACGCCGCGUGAGUGAUGAAGGUCUUCGGAUCGUAAAACUCUGUUAUUAGGGAAGAACAAAUGUGUAAGUAACUAUGCACGUCUUGACGGUACCUAAUCAGAAAGCCCCGGCUAACUACGUG
rnacentral:rRNA from 1 species